CCUACGGGAGGCAGCAGUGGGGGAUAUUGGACAAUGGGGGGAACCCUGAUCCAGCGACGCCGCGUGAGUGAAGAAGUAUUUCGGUAUGUAAAGCUCUGUCAGCAGGGAAGAAAGCAAUGACGGUACCUGACCAAGAAGCCCCGGCUAACUACGUGCCAGCAGCCGCGGUAAUACGUAGGGGGCAAGCGUUAUCCGGAAUUACUGGGUGUAAAGGGAGCGUAGGCGGUUUAGCAAGUCAGAAGUGAAAGCCCGGGGCUCAACUCCGGGACUGCUUUUGAAACUGUUGAACUAGAUUGCAGGAGAGGUAAGUGGAAGUCCGAGUGUAGCGGUGAAAUGCGUAGAUAUUAGGAGGAACACCAGUGGCGAAGGCGGCUUACUGGACUGUAAAUGACGCUGAGGCUCGAAAGCGUGGGGAGCAAACAGGAUUAGAUACCCGAGUAGUC
rnacentral:rRNA from 1 species